rnacentral:rRNA from 1 species
GACGAACGCUGGCGGCGGGCUUAACACAUGCAAGUCGAACGGAAAGGCCCUGCUUGCGUGGGGUGCCCGAUGGGCGAACGGGGGAGUAACACGUGAGUAACCGGCCCUUGACUUUGGGAUAACUUCAGGAAACUGGGGCUAAUACCGGAUAGGAGCUCCUGCUGCAUGGUGGGGGUUGGAAAGUUUCGGCUGGUGGGGAUGGACGCGCGGCUGAUCAGCUUGUUGGUGGGGGAGUGGCUUACCAAGGCUUUGGAGGGUAGCCGGCCUGAGAGGGUGGCCGGCGACCUUGGGCCUGCGAUACGGCCCAGACUGCUACGGGGGGCAGCAGUGGGAAAUCUUGCCCAAUGGGCCGGAGUCUGAUGAAGAAACGUCGCGUGCGGGAAGACGGCCUUCGGGUUGUAAAACGCUUCCGCCUGUGACGCAGCGUGAGUGACGGUAAUGGGUAAAGAAGCACCGGCUAACUACGUG